UACGGAGGGAGCUAGCGUUAUUCGGAAUUACUGGGCGUAAAGCGCACGUAGGCGGCUUUGUAAGUUAGAGGUGAAAGCCUGGAGCUCAACUCCAGAAUUGCCUUUAAGACUGCAUCGCUUGAAUCCAGGAGAGGUGAGUGGAAUUCCGAGUGUAGAGGUGAAAUUCGUAGAUAUUCGGAAGAACACCAGUGGCGAAGGGCGGCUAC
rnacentral:rRNA from 1 species